CAGAUUGAAAAGUUUGAAGGAAAAGUUUUUGUCUAUGGGAGGGAAGAAAUCUUACUAAAGGCAAUUAUACAAUCUAUUCAUGUGUUUGCUAAGUCAGUCUUUAACAUUCCCAAAAGACUUUGUAAGGCAAGGACUGAUGCAAUGGUUGAGUUUUGGUGGGGUGAUAUAGCUAUAAUUAAAUGCAUGCAUUGGAUGGCGUGGUGGAGAAUACGUAUCCCUAAGAAAUAUGGAGGUAUGGGAUUCCGUGACUUACAUUCUUUUAGUUUGGCUAUGUUGGCAAAGUAAUCCUGGAGAUUGAUCUCUACUUCAGAUUCUCUGCGUGCACAAGUUCUUAAGCCAAAUAUUAUCCAAACUGCAAUUUACUGA
rnacentral:rRNA from 1 species